UCUUUCUAUCCAAGCCACUAUGGCGCUCGAUCCCACCAUUUUUCCGUCGCCGGAAAAUCCGAUUCCGAUCCAUCUGUAAGCGUGUUUCCCUGCUAACACCAACGUCGUCACGUUCUGAUCGUCUUGGUAAAACUGCAACAUACAUCGGUUCAGAAUCGGUUUUCUUAAAUUUCUUAGGUUUAAAUGAAGUUAAAUCCCGAAAACAAGAAAUGAAAUAGUAUUGGUAAUACGAAAAGUAAAUGAUGGAUUGAGAAAAUUACAUGGAAGGAAAACGUCUGUUGCCAAAUGAGGGAGCAGGCAAGGCCGGAGAGAUCAGAGUACGGAGUAGGAAGAAUCUCUCUGAGAUUUGAACUGCAGCUUGGCGAUUGAACGUCGGGGGCUUCCGGCGUGAGUCCGACGACGACGAGGCAGAAGAGUGAAGGGAGAAGUUUCUUUGAAAAAUUUGAAAUUGAACCCGCCAUUUCCUUUGCUUUUUCAUUUUUUUUCCCCUCUUUACUCAGAAAUCUAGAGAUCGCCAUUGAUGGAACCUCACCUUUGUGAUCAAACAAGUGGAAGGUGGAGAGGUAAGAGGCCAUUGAAUCACGCUUGACCUUUCCUUGAGCUUCAAGUAUCCUAGAAGAACACCAUAUUAUUUUAUAAAACAGAUUACCCUUAUGCA